CACGCAGUAAACGAUGAUUACUAGCUGUUUGCGAUACACAGUAAGCGGCACAGCGAAAGCGUUAAGUAAUCCACCUGGGGAGUACGCCGGCAACGGUGAAACUCAAAGGAAUUGACGGGGGCCCGCACAAGCGGAGGAACAUGUGGUUUAAUUCGAUGAUACGCGAGGAACCUUACCCGGGCUUGAAUUGCAGAGGAACAUAGUUGAAAGAUUAUGGCCGCAAGGUCUCUGUGAAGGUGC
rnacentral:rRNA from 1 species